rnacentral:rRNA from 1 species
UACGUAGGGUGCGAGCGUUGUCCGGAAUUACUGGGCGUAAAGAGCUUGUAGGUGGUUUGUCGCGUUGUUCGUGAAAUCUCACGGCUUAACUGUGAGCGUGCGGGCGAUACGGGCAGACUAGAGUACUGCAGGGGAGACUGGAAUUCCUGGUGUAGCGGUGGAAUGCGCAGAUAUCAGGAGGAACACCGGUGGCGAAGGCGGGUCUCUGGGCAGUAACUGACGCUGAGGCACGAAGGCCAGGGGAGCAAACGGG